UACGUAGGGGGCAAGCGUUGUCCGGAAUCAUUGGGCGUAAAGCGCGUGUAGGCGGUUCGAUAAGUCUGCUGUGAAAGUCCGGGGCUCAACCCCGGGAGGCGGGUGGAUACUGUCAAGCUCGAGUCCGGAAGAGGCGAGUGGAAUUCCUGGUGUAGCGGUGAAAUGCGCAGAUAUCAGGAGGAACACCGAUGGCGAAGGCAGAUCUCUGGGCCGUAACUGACGCUGAGGAGCGAAAGCAUGGGGAGCGAACAGG
rnacentral:rRNA from 1 species